rnacentral:rRNA from 1 species
UACGUAGGGGGCAAGCGUUGUCCGGAUUUAUUGGGCGUAAAGAGCGUGUAGGCGGCUAGGUAGGUCCGUUGUGAAAACUCGAGGCUCAACCUCGAGACGCCGGUGGAAACCAUCUAGCUAGAGUCCGGAAGAGGAGAGUGGAAUUCCUGGUGUAGCGGUGAAAUGCGCAGAUAUCGGGAGGAACACCAGUAGCGAAGGCGGCACUCUGGGCCGGUACUGACGCUGAGGAGCGAAAGCGUGGGGAGCAACAGG